AGAUAAGAGAAAGUAGGAAUGCAGCCCCUGUCCUUUGGUUUCAGAAUGUGUAGCCCCCAGGACCAAGACUCAAACUUGCUGUUAAAAAUGCACUAAGGCUCCCCCGCCCCCCGAGCCAGUCACUUCAAGAGUCCCUGUGUGGGCAGGGAACUGUCAUCGGAAUACAUUUGCCUGGACCCAUGAUGGGGCUAAAACCCCACCGACCAAGGCCGGGCAGUGUGCCUUGAAGUCACCCAGUUUCCAUCCAUCAUCUCAGGACAGUUCAGGUGAACCUGCCUGGGCUGGAACAGGCUUGGUGCAGAAUCACCUGUAUCCUCUGCCUUGAAGGCCAUCAGGUUGGAAGACCUCAGGGGGGUGUCCUCUUUUCUCAGCCUCCCGUCCAUCGUCCAUCUAUCACAUAGGGCUGUCGCCACCAGCAUGACACUAUUUCCUCCCCUCUGUUCAUUGAUACUGAAAACACCUCAAGCAGAGAACUGAGGCCUUCUGCUUCCAUGCCUCAUAUUCACAUGAAGAUAAAGAGGCUUGCUGAGUCAUUUCCCCGCAAGGGAGGAUUUUGGUCCUGACUUGUCCGAGAGAUGCCCCAGGUGGAGAGGGUUUUAGUGCUAGGCCUCCCAACAGGAGGUGGGGGCAUAAAGAGGAGGAGCAAAGGAGUACCCGUUGUGGCUCAGUGGGUUAGGAACCCAACUAGGAUCCACGUGAAUGCGGGUCUGAUCCCUGGUCUUUCUCAGUGGGUUACGGGUCCAGAGUUGCCCCAAGCUGGUUGCAGAUGCAGCUCAGAUCUGACAUUGCUAUGACUGGGGUGUAAGCCUACAACUGCAGCUCUGAUUGGACCCCUGGCCUGGGAAUUUGCAGAUGCUGCAGGUUUGGCCCUAAAAAGCAAAAUAAUAAUAAUAAUAAUUUUAUUUAAAAGGUCUGGGGGAAAGAAAUUUAAAUCGUGGAAGUGAUGUUGGGAUUGGGGAGGUGGACUGCAUCACCACGUGGCACACUUGGCCCUUCUGCCUGGGUCUUCCUGAACAGAUGGGCGCUGCUUCCCUCAGGGCGGUGGGUAAAGCAGGCCCUCCUUUUCUCCUGAAUCACCUUCUUGGAUCCCGCUUUCUCCCGUGCCUGCCUUUUAGCUCCUUCCAGGAGGGACGACACACUCUUAAAAACUACAGGUUAUGGGAGUUCCAGUCUCAUGGUGCAGCAGGAAGAAUCCUGUUAAUAUCCAAGAGGAUGCGGGUUCAAUCCCUGGCUUUGCUCGGUGGGUCGGGGAUCCAGGGUUGCCGUGAGCUGUGGUGUAGGUCGCAGACAUGGUUCAGAUCCUGAGUUGCUGUAGCUGUGGAGUAGGCUGGCAGCUGUAGCUCUGAUUCAAACCCUAGCCUGGGAACCUCCAUAUGUCGAGGGUGGGGCCCUAAAAAGCAAAAAAAAACAAAAAA
rnacentral:lncRNA from 1 species